rnacentral:lncRNA from 1 species
CACUUUUCUUUGUGCAUUCACACGAUGCAUUUUCUUUUCUUAUCACCAAACUGUUUUGAAAGAUAAAAGUACUUCCUGAAUAUGUGGAUGGUGAGCCACGUGAAUGGAAGACAUGGAGAUAUGGACUGUUAACACCUUGUCAAACAUUUAUUGUCCCUUCCACCUCUAAACUUCUGUGAUAAUAGGUGAACAGGACCCACGUGGUGCAGAAUACUGCGAUACACACUGCGGAAUAAUUCAGUGCAGAACAACACGUGGAUUGCUCAGUACAACUUGUUCAUCACAUCCUCCUGUUCACUGAAGAAUUAUGGAAAUAUUCUCUGAGCUGCUUUCCUCCCUGCCCAACGAGUCAUCUCUGUGUGAAAGGCCAAGCUUAUAAAUCCUGUGGAUUCCUUUGCAGAAACUUGAAAUGGGAAGCUGAGUUCUAUGCCUGGGAUAAUACAAUGCAAGACCAGAUUAUGUAGGAAAGCUGAGUUUGAGGACACAGGAAAUCCUGAAAAGCCUAAAGAUCUGAGAGUUAGCAAAAAUCCAUGGGCCAACUUCAAACUUGGAGGGCUGCAGAAUUAGUGACAUCCGAGCUGAGAAUAACAAAAGAUUUUUUUCAAGAUAGCUGGGUAGCCCAGAGGCAAUCAAUGGGAAUGAAAAUAUGGAGUGUUGCCUUUCCCAGCCAAGGCAAGAAUGGAGUGCCAUAGAUUCUGAGGAUAGCAGAAGACACUGAGGCAUCUGGGUCCCUGGGAGUCACACAGAACAAGAGAUGUGUCUUGACAAAUCAAAUCUGCAUGCUGGAAGGGUAACAGGGAGAAAAUAAAGAUCAGUGGCAAUAAAUGCAAGAGAAAAAACUGCAUCAGGAGGGGUACCAGGGAAAAAUGGUUUAACAACAUCAGAAUCACGUCAUGGUCAUCAUGUCUGGAGGCAUUGUCAGUUAUGAUCUUCAGUGCUUCUCUGUCAUUUAUUAAAUGCU